ensembl:lncRNA
AGAGUGGGGAUUCAGGAGAGGUGGGCCUCCUUCCUCGAGAAAGGCAAAUCGCCUUUUACUGACAGCGUCCCGGUGAAGGAGGCUGCCCGAAUCCACAGGCUGUAUGGACCAUCCCUCCGCAACCUUCCACAGAAAGCCUGACUCUUGUCUACCAGGCUUGCAUAAGGAGAGGCAGGUUCUUUACCACUAGCACCACCGGGUUCCAACUGCAAGAGUCCUGCAGAAAAGGACGAGCAGCAUGGCCUUUUAUGACACAACCGUGGAGGCCUCAGAGUGGCACUUCUGUUGCAUGUGAUUGGCCAAAGCAGCCCUGAGCCUGACACAGAUGAAAGGUGCAGCAGACAACUCAGAAGAAAUUUAGUUCAGUUGAUCAGUCGUGUCCGACUCUUUGCGGCCCCAUGGACUACAGCACGCCCGGCUUCCCUGUCCAUCUCCAACUCUCGGAGCUUGCUCAAACUCAUGCCCAUUGAGUCAGUGAUGCCAUCCAACCAUCUCAUCUUCGGUCAUCCCCUUCUCCUCCCACCUUCAAUCUUUCCCAGCAUCAAGGUCUUUUCCAAUGAGUCGGUUCUUCGCAUCAGGUGGCCAAAGUAUUGGAGUUUCAGCUUCAGCAUUAAUCCUUCCAAUGAAUAUUCAGGACUGAUUUUCUUUUGGUGUGUUUACUGGUUUAGAAUUUGGAGUUAGGGAGCAUAACACAUGUUAUGUGUGCCUGCAAAGCCCUGUGUACCCUGAAGCCAAAUGGUGGAAUCCGGAGUCCUGGCUGCUCUGAGAAUUUUCCUGCAUUUUGGAAUGCGUAGGGCUUCCCAGGUGACAGUAGUGGUAAAGAACCCACCUGCCAAUGCAGGAGAAAUAAGAGACGAGGGUUCAAUCCCUGGGUUGGGAAGAUACCCUGCAGGAGGGCAGGGCAACCCACUCUAGUAUUCUUGCCAGGAAAAUCCCAUGGACAUAGGAACCUGGCAGGCUACAAUCCAUAGUGAAAGUGAAGUUGCUCAGUCCAACUCUUUGCGACCCCAUAGACUGUAGGAUACCAGGCUCCUCUGUCCGUGGGAUUUUCCAGGCAAUAGUACUGGAGUGGAUUGCCAUUUCCUUCUCCAGGUGAUCUUCCCAACCCAGGGUUCGAACCUGGGUCUCCUGCAUUGUAGACAGAAGCUUUACUGUCUGAGCUACCAGGGAAGUCAAUAGGGUCAAUCCAUAGGGUCACAAAGAGUCUAACACAACUAAACAACUGAGCACGCAUGCAAAAAGCACUCAGAACCUUGCUAAUGCUGUUGCCAGGCACCUACCUGGGCAUGAAUGAAAAUGAGUCAAGCCUGAGCUCAUCAGUAGCCUAACUUUAUCCCCCAAAAUCAAUACAGAUUUCCCCAUAUUACGUAACGCAAUAUGUGCUUUCCUGAGAAGGUGGAGGUAAAUCAAUUUCUUUUCCCCCG